GACGAACGCUGGCGGCGUGCUUAACACAUGCAAGUCGAGCGGUAAGGCCCAGCUUGCUGGGUACACGAGCGGCGAACGGGUGAGUAACACGUGGGUGACCUGCCCUCAGCUCUGGGAUAAGCUUGGGAAACUGGGUCUAAUACCGGAUAUGACUUCGCAUCGCAUGGUGUGGGGUGGAAAGUCGGUGCUUUUGGGUGCUGGCGGUUGGGGAUGGGCCCGCGGUCUAUCAGCUGGUUGGUGGGGUGAUGGCCUACCAAGGCGACGACGGGUAGCCGGCCUGAGAGGGCGACCGGCCACACUGGGACUGAGACACGGCCCAGACUCCUACGGGAGGCAGCAGUGGGGAAUAUUGCGCAAUGGGCGGAAGCCUGACGCAGCGACGCCGCGUGGGGGAUGACGGCCUUCGGGUUGUAAACCUCUUUCGACCUUGACGAAGGCCUCUGGGUUUAUGUCU
rnacentral:rRNA from 1 species